rfam:Oceaniovalibus guishaninsula JLT2003 contig00037, whole genome shotgun sequence.
CGGGGCGUAGCGCAGCCUGGUAGCGCAUCUGCUUUGGGAGCAGAGGGUCGGAGGUUCGAAUCCUCUCGCCCCGA